UCUAAUAGUUUUAUCAUUAUUCAUAUAUUGUACUAUUUUACAGAAACGAGAUAAUGGCUCGGGAACUUUUACAAGCACUAGUGAUAAAUCGAGUGGAGCCAAGUCCAUCAGCACACCUUCAACCCCUAAAGCAGAAAGCGUUAAUCUUCAUAUGGAAUCCAGACUGUCACAUUCUAUACCGACAGAAAGCACUCCUGCUGCUGAUCUUUUAUUGGAGGCUACGCAGGACAGAGAAAUUCCUGAGGAUGAAUUUUUGCGACAGGAGACACCUCUGGUAUGGAAUCUGGUUUUAAUGUUUGAAUCAAUCUUGUAUUGGAAUAAAUUAAUUCGCCGCAUCGUUGGAUUAAAGUUUUUAUUUGGACAUUUUGAUUUUAGAAAUUUUAAGAAGAGUCGAGGUACUUGAGUGAAAUCUUUAGAUAUACUAUAACCAGAAUACUUCUCUCUAACCAGCCAAUAAAGAUGAAGAUAAUGCUGAAUGAAUAUUGAAAAAUAGAAAGUAUGUAUAGAAAGGAGGUGGGUUCUAAUUCACUCUAAAUUAGUUGUCUCGAAAAUAAGUUGAAAUGCUAAGAGUACUCCUUUAUUCAAUUUUAACUGUUAUAAUGUUCGAAUUUGGGAUUCAUAAGUACAGAAUCUGUUUCUCACGAGCCAUGGUUACAUUUGUGCUAUUAAUAAUCCUGGGAAUGAGCUUGGUAUGACCUUUUCAAAUGAUCCAUGUCCAAAUUAUAGACAACCUUGAAUGAAAAAAAAGAGACUCAAAAAGUGAAAAGGAAGAAUCUCCAUUAUUGCUUGUAUUUUAGGGCUCAUGUGCGAUGCAUACUACUACAGGGGAGUCUUGUUAUUAAUAUUUUUUUUUUUCCAAUUUUGGGAGUUAACACCCAGCACAAAUUACGAAGGAAAAAUUGAAGUAAACAGUUGUCAUAGCUUCCACAUGUCAAGCAACAUUUUGUUGCACCAUAAUACUCGUACCAUGUGGCUCUUCUUUCAGUAUGAUAGUAUACAUUCUUUUCUGCAUCGAAGUAAGCAGGCAAUUAAUUUUCAAAAUGUCUUCAUUGUUAGGGGGUUUUUUUUAUCUAUUUUAGAGUCGACCCUGAAAAUGAAAUUGCUAAAAGUAAUGGAUUUUAAGGUUUUCUUUUUAUUAUAUUUUAUUUAAUAAUGUUUGUGCUACCAAGUUAACUCCUUUUGUAGCAUCAAGCAAUUUAAUGUUUCCAUUAGAUUCUCUAUUCAUGGUAAAUGGAUUCAGAGUUUCAUGUCUUAUCACUUAUUUGAUGCUAGACUAGCAUACAGACAAUUGACCAAAUAGAUCUUCUGAGGGAGCAGCAAAAGAUUUUGUCUGGAGAGGUGGCUUUUCAUUCAAGUGCACUGAAGCGGUUAUCUGAGGAGGCCCUAAGAAACCCGAAGAAGGAACAUAUUCAUGUAAAUCUUGAUUUGAUCUCCUUUUUAGCUGCUGUUUUCAUGUUGAAUUCAAUCUUAUGAAAAUUUCUACUAAAUGAAGGUGGAGAUAGAAAAGUUGAAUGGUGAAAUCAAAAGGAAAAAUGAACAAGUAGCUCUCUUAGAAAAGCAAAUUGUUGUUUCUGUUAUUUCUUGUCGUGACAAAAUGGAUAAAUUGGAAGCAUCGCGAGUAUGUGCACCUUCUUUUGCAUANNNNNNNNNNNNNNNNNNNNNNNNNNNNNNNNNNNNNNNNNNNNNNNNNNNNNNNNNNNNNNNNNNNNNNNNNNNNNNNNNNNNNNNNNNNNNNNNNNNNAACAUUCAUUUAUCGAGGAUUUACUAUAGUCGUGUUGUAAUAAGUUUAACAAAAUUUGGAAUGUAGGUGCCUACUCUAAUAGUUUUAUCAUUAUUCAUAUAUUGUACUAUUUUACAGAAACGAGAUAAUGGCUCGGGAACUUUUACAAGCACUAGUGAUAAAUCGAGUGGAGCCAAGUCCAUCAGCACACCUUCAACCCCUAAAGCAGAAAGCGUUAAUCUUCAUAUGGAAUCCAGACUGUCACAUUCUAUACCGACAGAAAGCACUCCUGCUGCUGAUCUUUUAUUGGAGGCUACGCAGGACAGAGAAAUUCCUGAGGAUGAAUUUUUGC
rnacentral:lncRNA from 1 species